GCAAACACCUGAUCCAACAUUUGUCUGAACGCUGCAGAUUUGAUCAGGAUUUUGAGUGUUUAAUUCUAUAAACCGCUGGAAUGAAAGUUAAAGCACUUUGUAGAAACUCGGACGAUUAUGUUCGAGAGACGACCAGAGAUAUACAGCGAGUGCCUAGAAUUACCCGACCCUGCAUCCUUUUGAAGUGCCCAGAGAAUACACCAGGGCCCUAAAUGCCACUAAACUGGAGAGGGUGUUUGCCAAACCCUUUGUAGCUUCACUAGAUGGACACAGAGAUGGUAUCACCAAACACGCCAAAAGCCUGUCAACAAUCAUCUCUGGUGCCUGCGAUGGGGAGGUGAAAAAGUGUGAAACCUUCCUAAGCGGGAGUGUUUGAGGACAGUUCAGGCUCAUGAAGGAUUUGUGUGAGGAGUCUGUU